UGUCUAGAUAGCUCAGUUAGGUAGAGCAAAAGGUUGAAAACCUUUGUGGCAUAGGUUCGAAUCCUAUUCUGGACAU
rnacentral:tRNA from 1 species